GAGCUCAUGAGGCAGCGACCGGUCGGGAAAUACAGGCGGGUAGAGGAGCGGAAGGACGGCGAAGACUGCUGGGCUCGGUCCAGAAGGCUGUUGGGAUUUCAGCCAGUCAUCAGAGAUCAGCGCCUGCCUCUCUGUCUCCUACUCUCUGGGCUGAGCCAACCAUGUGACCUCAAUGACUCCUAAUACCUCUUGCCCUUUAGACCCUUCACCAUCUUUGUAGCCCUUCUUUGAAGACUCUCAAAUAGUUUUAAAUCCCUCUUAUAUCAUAGCGCCCAAAACUGCACACAGUGCUCAAAGUUGAGGUUGCACCAGCACAAAGCAGAGUGAGACAGUCCCUUCCCUCACCCUGCUGGCAGUGCCAGGCCUGAUGCACCCCAGGGUACCAUUGGCCCUUUUGGCUGACAGGGCACACUUCUGAUUCAGAUUCAACUUUCUUCAACCCCCAGAUCCCUUCCUGCAGGACUGCUCUCCAGCCUCUCAUUCACCAGUCUGUACAUACACCCAGGGUUGCCCCAUUCCAGGUGCAGAAUCUGGCACUUACUCUUGUUAAAAUUCAUGUGGUUGGUAGUUGUCCAGCCCUCUAAUUUUUCAAGAUCUCAAGACGUAUGCACUGAAUGUGGACUGCUUAGUGCCUGGAAAAGGCUCUGUGGCACUUAGUGUGUCUGCCUCUGCUUCAGCUCUCAGAAGACUUCAUCUCAUGGGAACCGAUGAGUUUGUUCUCAAUCACUGAAACCAACACUGGGAAUCUUGAGAUGGAGAACACAUGUCAAAAUCUGCCACUAGGUCCUGCAUUCUUCAUUGAUUCAAGAAAGCCAGGUGGAUUCUACACUGCCUCACAGAUCAGAAGAAAAACAUGAGCACAUUAUCGUUACAAAAUCUGUAUUACUGCUAGUAAUGACACAUUAAUAUAUUUGAUUUUUCUUUUCACAGAAUACAUCGGUUUUCAAAUAUAUUUUGAAUCUCCCUUUAGAUUUAAAGUUGAAUAUAUUUGCAUGAGGAAUCAUGAGGUAAAAAUAAGAAAAAAAAACUGUAAAGAAAAACAAACUGAAUAUGUGAAAUCAACUGUAAAAACGUUUCGAGGGUGGAGGUGUAAUAGAAGAGUGCUUGAAUAUUUAUCAGCUGAUUUUACCAAAUGGCCAUUAAAGUCAAGGACCAUCUUAAGAAUCAAAGCAGGGACUUUUUCUGGGAGUGAAAUUAUAUUAUUAUUUUUAAAUAAAGUUUAGUGGUGAUCAACAUAUUUGCUCUUUUAUGAACAUUUAUUUGAUAUAUUUUAGAGAAAGCCACUUCAGCUGUUAAAUAUUGAAUAUUCCUUUUCCAACUUCAGGGUUCACAGAGGCAUAUUUCAUAAUGAAUAUUUGUGUGCUUUUUAUAUGUGAGUCAUCUUGUUUGCACAGCUCCCUAUAAAUCAUCUGAAUGAGUGACAGAAAGGACCAAUUAGAGCUUUUGUGCACUGGGGUAGAAUGGCACUUAGAUGUUUGUGCAAUCUCAUUUCAAUAGUUUCAGGUUCCACAGUUUCCCUGAGGAGAUUAUUUGAGAGCUUACCGCAAUUUAUUCUCAUGAUAGUCAGCUUCAACAUUUCCUUUUCCAAUUGUAUCAUAAUACACUUACAUCCAACAUAAUGUAUUACACAUUUUCUCCUCCUGUGAAGCAAGGUAGGUUCCAUAAAUCCUGCAAUAAAUUGGUCACCUCUUCCUAUGUCCUUGUAAGUCCUUAUUAGAUGAGCUAUAUAACACGAGUGCCUUGACAGCAACAUCAUGGUUAGGGCUCUUUUGUGAUUUGCACAAAAAGUAGCAAUCAGACCUCAAUACUAUAGGCACACUUCAUUCAAUCAUCUAAUUAAUUCACAAGAACAAAAAAAAUGAUAUUUCUUAUUGACUAAGUGUUUGGGCUAUGGAACAACUAACCGCCUAAAUCCAACUUCUGCAAACCAGUAUACGCAUUAUUAAAAUACUGCUCUUUUUUUAUGCACACUUGCACAGUCUUAGCCCCGUUUUCUCAGGGUCAUAUAAUAACCAUCCAGGAGCAAGUUUCAUCAUGCAUCUCUGAAAGGAUCCAGGCAAGCUUUCCAGUUCACUGUACAGAAAGGAGUACUGUCAGAUAAGCAUGCUUUAUUCUGUCCUGCCAGUCCACCGUCCAUCCUCCUGUUUACUAUAUGCCAAGUUGGUGUGCUUGCAGACCCCAAGCCUGCCUUCUCUAUUCAAGCCCUACUAUGAGACUGCCCCUGUGCUAGGGUUCAUGCUCAGCUCCUCCCAUUCCUGGGGGAAUUUUCUUACACAACACCUUUAAUGUCAAAGCUACACAUGUUCCUCUAGUAUUACUCAUUCAUACACAUGUAAAUUGAUUUACUGUAUACAAAUCCCAUUAGUACAUCCAACAGUCAUAUCAGACAUCCUGUGCUGGGACCUUAUCUGUAAGUUCAUCUGAAACUUUUAGACAAUCUUUUCCAAGACACAGGCUCUCAUUUCAGAAGCAUGGCAUAUAGUGCUUGGAAAUACACAUGCAUUUGACUGUACAAUCUGCUUGAAAGUGUUAAUUUUACUAGGCAGACCAGAUGAGGCUGCAGUUGCUCUCACAGCAGUUCACCAGGUAACAGUUUAGCACCUCCACAGAUCUCAUUAACAGCAAGGGGUUUUUUGAUCUUUGGUACAAAUCUUUGAAAGGCACUGGGAAACUCCCACAUCGCGAUGGCUAAACUUUGACAACUUUCCUGAUCUUUCAAAAGUAAAUAACCGUCUGUGUAACACAUUUAAAUGAUACUGCAGAUACAGCAUUGACCAUCAGAAAUGCACAUAGAAUAUUCCCAGUUCGAAGGGGCCCAUAAGGAUCACCAAGUCAGGCUUCUGGAGGUGACAAGACAUUGAUCAUAGGACUUAGGGACCGGUUUGCACUUCUAAGAUUAAUGAUUACAAACAGCAGAGGCAUUACAGAUUUGUAGUUACUUUUACGCCUUUAUGUGUAAACAUCACUGAAUAAGGCCAUCAUUGUUUUGUAACACCUGUGAGAUGAUCAACACUAACAGAGUUGAUAAAUGUUUCUGUAUCAGAUGCCUUACUAUCUUUCGUACUGUUUGAUUUGUGGAGUUAACAGCGAAGGGCUGUGUCGGACACCCUGCUGGAUUUCUUGAAAUCUGGCACAACACCAGUGCUUUAUGAAAUAUAAAGGAAGUUCUUGAGAUUAAGAUCCAACCUUAGCUACUUCCUUAUCCGACUCUUUCAAGAUCCGAGGGUACAAAUGAGAGGAGAGGAAAAGAAAAUGAAAAAAACAGCCCAAGCUUGCUUGGUGCAAAAGGUCCACAGUAGGUCUGGAAGCACCUCCUGAUGCCUUGUGCUGCUCCUAGGUGGGGUGACGCUGGCCCCACGCUACCGCACUCCCGUUCCGUUACUGCCAGCAUGGAAGAACCGCCUUCACCUCAGAGGGAUCACCCUUAUCCCUUUCUUCCCGUUUUCCGAGACUCUGUCCCUCUGUGCCGAGCAGAAAGCUUUCCUACAGCCCGCGGCACCACACACACGGGGCAGGAGGGCACCGGGUCCGCCCGAGGUGCAGCCCCUCGGCCUGGGCCCCACGCGAGGUCCCCGGCCG
ensembl:lncRNA